UACGUAGGGGGCAAGCGUUGUCCGGAUUUAUUGGGCGUAAAGAGCGUGUAGGCGGCCUUACAGGUCAGCUGUGAAAACUCGAGGCUCAACCUCGAGACGUCGGUUGAAACCGUAUGGCUAGAGUCCGGAAGAGGAGAGUGGAAUUCCCGGUGUAGCGGUGAAAUGCGCAGAUAUCAGGAGGAACACCGGUGGCGAAGGCGGGUCUCUGGGCCGAUACUGACGCUGGAGGAGCGAAAAGCGUUGGGGAGCGAACAGG
rnacentral:rRNA from 1 species